UACGGGGGGAGCAAGCGUUGUUCGGAUUUACUGGGCGUAAAGGGCGCGUAGGCGACCUCCGCAAGUCAGUUGUGAAAUCUCCGAGCUUAACUCGGAAAGGUCAACUGAUACUGCGGGGCUAGAGUGCGGAAGGGGCAACUGGAAUUCUUGGUGUAGCGGUGAAAUUGCGUAGAUAUCAAGAGGAACACCUGCGGCGAAAGGCGGGUUGCUGGGCCGACACUGACGUGAGGCGCGAAAGCGUGGGGAGCGAACAGG
rnacentral:rRNA from 1 species